GACGAACGCUGGCGGCGUGCCUAAUACAUGCAAGUAGAACGCACAGUUUAUACCGUAGCUUGCUACACCAUAGACUGUGAGUUGCGAACGGGUGAGUAACGCGUAGGUAACCUGCCUGGUAGCGGGGAUAACUAUUGGAAACGAUAGCUAAUACCGCAUAAUAUUAAUUAUUGCAUGAUAAUUAAUUGAAAGGUGCAAUUGCACCACUACCAGAUGGACCUGCGUUGUAUUAGCUAGUAGGUGAGGUAACGGCUCACCUAGGCGACGAUACAUAGCCGACCUGAGAGGGUGAUCGGCCACACUGGGACUGAGACACGGCCCAGACUCCUACGGGAGGCAGCAGUAGGGAAUCUUCGGCAAUGGACGAAAGUCUGACCGAGCAACGCCGCGUGAGUGAAGAAGGUUUUCGGAUCGUAAAGCUCUGUUGUAAGAGAAGAACGGGUGUGAGAGUGGAAAGUUCACACUGUGACGGUAUCUGACCAGAAAGGGACGGCUAACUACGUG
rnacentral:rRNA from 1 species